GACGAACGCUGGCGGCGUGCUUAACACAUGCAAGUCGAACGGAAAGGCCCUGCUUUUGUGGGGUGCUCGAGUGGCGAACGGGUGAGUAACAAGUGAGUAACCUGCCCUUGACUUUGGGAUAACUUCAGGAAACUGGGGCUAAUACCGGAUAGGAGCUCCUGCUGCAUGGUGGGGGUUGGAAAGUUUCGGCGGUUGGGGAUGGACUCGCGGCUUAUCAGCUUGUUGGUGGGGUAGUGGCUUACCAAGGCUUUGACGGGUAGCCGGCCUGAGAGGGUGACCGGCCAAAUUGGGACUGAGCUACGGCCCAGACUCCUACGGGAGGCAGCAGUGGGGAAGAUUGCACAAUGGGCGGAAGCCUGAUGCAGCAACGCCGCGUGCGGGAUGACGGCCUUCGGGUUGUAAACCGCUUUCGCCUGUGACGAAGCGUGAGUGACGGUAAUGGGUAAAGAAGCACCGGCUAACUACGUG
rnacentral:rRNA from 1 species